AUUGACCUAGUUUUAAAUACUAAAAUAGAAAUCGCGAGGUGAAUGCAUGAUGGAAAUAAGAAAAGCUGUAUUCCCAUUGGUUACCAGGCGAAGCCAUGUUGUAAGUUACUAAAAUUAGCUCAUGUCAAGGCGACAUAUGACCGAAAUGUAAGCCGUUGCCGAGAUACCGGCUAUUAUUUUGCUCAGCGCAUGACUUCCUUUACUCGACAUCUGCGAACCUGUGUGCUUCUUUUUUAUCAAAUAAGUGCAUAUUUUUUGUUUGUUGGCUUCUUUUUACGUCAAUGCCUGAAGUCUCAAAGCUAGUGCUGCCAAGCUUGCUAGGGUUGAAGCACAUCACUUGGGACUGCACAGAUGCACUAGAUGCACCUACAGUACCUGCAUCUCAGUGCACAUGCAUCGGUUGCAGCUACACUACUUCCACCAACCAUCGCAAAGAAAAUUUAGUGCUUCUGCAGUCUAAUCGCCGUAAUGCACUGAGUGGAUAGAUUGGAAGUCUUACGCAGCAGCUGAAAAAAUCUCCAGACCGACUUCAAGAAGGCAGUUUCAAGUAAGACUGGCAGUACAGGGAACUGAGGUGGAAAGUUGGAGCUCCUUCUAAUCAUGUCCCUUUGACAGAUGAAAGGACACACACCAGGAUUGCCAGACAGGGAAAACCUCCUGGUGCUUCUGGCAAAUGUGUCAUGGUACAUAAUUCAACACCGCUAUCUCACAAAGGUUCAUCAUUCAUCUUAGAACAUGUUGCCAAAGCUGUCCAAAAUGUUUAUUAGCAACUGACGACAAAUGCCAUAUUGAGCAGUUGCAUGAUAGAUUCAACCCAAAUGAAAGUCUUUCUGCAUGCAUCUAGGCAUAUGGCCCCAAUCAUGGGAUUACAUGACAGUUAGUAAUACUGAAAGAUGGCUGUUAUUUCACCCAUAGCCCAACAGAAACUAGUUCAGGCUGAAGGCAGAUCAUCAUAUUUUUCUUCGGCUUUCUAAAUAGAGAAUGAUUAGGCCUACUGUAACUAUUUUGUUUUUGUAAUGUUAGUAAUAUGCAAAUGUUUUCAGAG